AAGCAAAUUCAAUGGGACGGAUUUUCAAUUUUUUACCCCCAAUCAUACAUAAAUUUGAUCAUGGCAAGGCAUAGAAAUUUUACCACUUUGAAUGGUUAUAAUUUCUUUUAAACUCCAUUAGGGUUGCAAUCAAAAUUUAUCGUCUUUGCUUGUAUUUAAAAUUAAAUUAUAGAAUGACAAGAAUUUGAAAGAGAAAAGUAAAAUACUUACCUUAAAUCAAUUUAAUCAUGAACGAAGAUCAUAGAACAUUUGACGAUCAUUAUUCUCAAUCCCAAAGCUUCUACUCAAGAGUCUUGUGCUGAUAACGUGUUAUAAAACAAUAAAAGAAGAAGAGCAAUAUUGCAGAGAAAGAUAGAUAGGAAAUUCUUAUUGAAUUUUGGGGUGAUUUACGAUGGGGUAAGACCCCUCUAUUUAUAGGAGUAAAAAUGACUUAACCUCAAAGUAAAACUCUCUACAAGAUAGACAUUCACUCUAAUUGGAAUUUUAUUCUUAACAAAAAUAAAUUUUAAAUAAUUUUCCAAUAAAUUAUUUUCAUCGUGGUCUUUACAUUCACUUGAUUGGGGGGUUUACUUUCAUUUCAAAAAGUCACGCUCCAUACCAUGAGCGCGGGCCUUAGUAAUUCAAUCAUCGAUAAUUAAACCGGUAUAAGAAUGAUAAAGCCGGAUCAUUACAAUGAACCGGUCACACGUGCCAAUCAAGACACACACACGUGCCGCCUCCAAAAUGCACCAGUUAAAAUCCAGCAUUUUGAAGAAGUUUGCCAUUCAUUCAUAUCCUUAACGGUUUUUCAACCACCAAACAAGACCAAUCAUUUCAAAUUUUCAAUAGACAAAAAAGAAAAAAGAAAAAAAAUCUCAAAUCCCUUUUCUUUGUAUUCAUUUCCCCUGUUUUUGAUGUUUUAAGCCAAGUAAUUUGCUUAAUUUUCUUUGGUUUCAAUAAAGGGACCAUUUAUUUUGUUCUUUUUUCUUUUUCCUCCAUUUCUUGUUUUUUUGGUUCAGAAAGAAGUGAAAAGACUCCAUUAUUAAGCAAAAAUUAAUGGAAUUGAAGGAGAUGGUGGUUCUUGUAUCACGUUCUGGCCGGCAUUUGCAACGUUACAACAGGGGUCGUCGCCAAGUUGUUGGGUACGUUAUUCAUAGGCGAAUUCAUGAUUUAAAUUUGAUAAGUCGUUAUAUUUUUGAUAUUAUGGUUUGUGGGUUCAAAAUAUAAUGUUCAUUGGAAUGUUAGUGAUUUUCUUACGUACAUAUCUAUAUUUUGUGUCAAAAAUAUGAGUUCAGUUAAAGGUUCAUAUAUUCCUCAGGAUAUGUGAGCCCGCC
rnacentral:lncRNA from 1 species